UGUACACAUAUCGACAAAUCGGUAUUUGUGAAAAUAAAUCAAGAAAUGCAACUUCAGACAACGGAAUCCGAAGAAUUGGUAUUGCUCAUUACAAAAACGAUAACGUGGCUCCGUCGUUUGGGCUCUGCCGCACAGACUUGGGAUGUGUCUUAGGACGAAGGACCGCACGAAACCUUAUUCCUGAACGGAUAUUUUUGAAGCGGCGAUAGGUACAUAGAUGGCCCCGGUGUUGCUUCAGAAGCUCGGAACACGACUAAUGGAAUGGGUUGCGCUCAGGUAGGUACAUGGUUAGGAAAAUGAAUUAAUUGACUGGCGGAGUGACAGCACGCCAUGUAUCUACAUACAUAUGUGAGCGAGGCUGUGAGUGGAGCGAUAAAAAACUAAUGAGAUGUGGACAGACAAAACAUCAGCGGCAGAAGCACUGCAAUGAACGAAAGGUGACAAUCACAGUUCAGUAAAACAAAACAAUAACGAAGCUGAGAGGAAACAAUGAAGCACAAACACGUCGCGAAAGAGCGGCAAAAAGACCAGCAUUUUUGUGGAACUCACGCGACAAUCGGCAGCGUCGGGAGAAACUUCACUCUGUCACAUGGAGCCGGGAUUUCCUGGCUUGAUUCUCUAGAACGCGUUUGGUUGGACUUUUUUUCUACUAUUUCUCCCAAUUCUUUUAAGCAUGACGAAAGGGGAUCAUGAACAAAAUAUGCCAACUUAGCUAAUUUCCCGCUAAAAUUUAGCCAUUUUAAGUGUUCACUUAAAGAUUUGUUACAAGGUCAUUUGACCAAAAUAAUUGUGAUUACUUUAGAAAAAAUAUUGACAAUUUUUCCAAUUUUUUUUUUUUUAAUGUCCAAUUACAGUUUUACAUAACUUUACGAAACAAAAGUAAAAUAAAGUUCUUUUUAUCGUUGUCAUCAUUGAUUUAAGAAUUACCUAAGAAAUUACAAGACCAGUUUAAGCAAAAUGCAUUAGGCUGACUUUGAUGCCCGAAAUCCGCAACCAUAAAAAUGUAUGUUUUAAGAGCAUCCAUCUAACAAGACAUCUAACAAAAAUCCUUAAUUUUAACAUAGUUAUUCGAUUGGUUUAUAUAGUAUUGUAUGUCACCUUUGAUAUAACACUAUCUACUUGGAUAAGAUUUAAUUAAAAAAUAUCAACAGUAUUUUCAUUUAUGAAUUAAGAAAUCUAGCUGUUUUUUUGCUAGUUUAGUUAGUCUAUUCAGCUAUAAUUGACGAUCAAUAGUUGGCAACACUGACAGCGACGAAACACGAUCAUGAAUGUUUACAGACAUCGAGUAAACUUUUUACGUCGAGGGAAGCGCUAACAGCCCUGAAGGUGCUGUUGACGCGAAUCUCUCGUAAUUCAAAAGAGUAAUGGGGAGAUGUUGGGAAAACUACAUUGAUUGCAGUAAUUCCAUUUGGAAGUGGGUGGGACGUCAAGAUCAAUGCGGAUACUAUCGCCACUAAGUAUCGUAUCGCUUGCAGUUGUUUUAAACAGCUAAUUACUUUAUUUAAAGGCAUCUCCUAUCUCACUUAAUCGAUGUGGUGAGCCUUAAUUAUGGCUUCGAAAAUUUUUUAACAUUCAAUUCAUUGUUUGCCAUUACCUUUUAAUUAGUAUAUGCAAAUCUCUCGAAUUACACCUGACGCGUGAGAGAUUUUCUAAUAGUUUGGCUAUUGCUCGAUUAGUAUGUAUCAGAAAUUGCAGUAAACAAUCACUACAAAUUUGUAUAUCUACCUGGUACAGACCAAACCGCAUAAAGGGGUUACAUGCGGUUCCAAAAACUAUAAUUUUUUUUGAAUUUAAACUUUUCCUUCUGACUAAAAACUUUAAACGCUUUAAAAUUAAAAAUAAAACUCAAAUAUUUUAAACAGUCCUUCAUAAUACAUCAAACAGGUAAAUGAACAUAAGAUUGUUUCAAUAUUUUAAAUAUUCCUAUUUUAAAUAUAAAAAUGCGCCAACAUUUUCGUCAAUUAUUUUUUUAAUACCCUUUGCAAAAAAUCCAAUUUUCAUUAUUUUGGCUUUUCCUUUGAUCAUUCGCGGGUUUAAUUUCGCCGAAAAUGACAAUGGCUGAGCUUUCCAACUUUUUAGUUAAAAGUAUCACAAUAAAAAAAUUAUUGAAAAUAGGCUGUUUUUUGGCUCGUAAAACCCAUGUAACCCCUUAAGCUCCUAUUACACAAUCUACAUAUGUAUACUUAUGCCUACAUAUACUAUAGAGUUAAAGGCUGUGUUAUUUACCCACAGGUAAAAUAAUGGAUGAGAUUUUGUUUUUCAAUAGUACCUAAAUUUUUGUGUUUUGCAUAACUUUAGCCUUAUUACGUGAACCGGAUUGAAUCACGCGGAUAUGACUGACGUUGAAAUAAUUGAAAGAGGAUUGUUAUAGUAGUUUUUGUAGAAUUGUCGCAAAAUCGAUUUUAAUGAAUCCGAUUGGUAACAAAGCAGUCAUUGCGAAUAUAAUCACGCUUAUUCACCAUUUGUCAAUCAAGAUGGCUUUUCAUAGCCCCUCACCUGGUGAAGAAACUCCUGGUCCUUCUUCGCCUUGUCGUAAUUGUUAACGGUAACAUUUGACGCGACAUUUGUCAUUGAAUCAUUAUUAAUCUCAUUGUUUCUUUCUUUUCUCCGAGUUUCCACUGUACUACUGCAUAGCCCGUUAGAUGUCGUCGCAUUCCCUUCCUGGGUUCCUUGAGGCUGCGGAAAUAUGGAAUCAAUGCCCAAGGGUGGAACAUUUGACGGUGGGUGCCGCUUCCUUAAAAAACGCGUUUGUGACAUUUGAGCAAAUUUUGACUGAAGCUAAACUCAACGAAAAGGUGGAAAAAAUUUAAAAUCCCAAAACUCCCCCCUCUUACUUUUUAAAAAUACGGUUGCGAAACCUAAAAACCUCGUA